UCUUCUUAUUUAAAAACUAGCAGCUUUCAUUGGCAGCAGGUGAGAAACACGUGGCUGUGUGAAUAAAGGAGUUCAGCACAUGUGCAUCAGAGCCCACAGCAGGGGUCACCUGGACAUCUGUGAAGGUUAUUAAUGCACAACUAUAGCUGCAGGUUUAAGAGCAGCGCAUGCUGCAGUCAGAACUGUUACCAAUGAAAAGAUCUGCAGCUUCAUGAAGCAGCUGAAAGAUCAAACAGUCCAACAUUUACAAAGUGCUGGUAGAGGUCCAGCUGAAGCAGUACAGAUGUGCUGCUGUCCCACAUUCAGUCAAAAUGAACGAGCUGCAGAUUUUAAAAAUGAGAUUACUGAGAAUAUUUGAAUUGUGACUCAGAUGGCAGAUCCAGGCUCUCAGCCUCCAGCUGAAACUUCCAGUCCUCCCCCAGCCAGAAGCUCUGACGCUGGGCUGAGAGACUUUGAUCCUUCCCUGGAUCCAGAAGUCCAGGAGGGAGAAGGAGAACAGGACCUGCUUCCUGAUCUGGAGAGGCCUGAGGGAAAGAAAGAUGGAGCAGACAGAGCUUUGAACAAACCUCCUGAGCUUCACCUCCACAAAGGUGCAGACACUGAUGCACAGAUUCACAUGUGACACCUGCAGCGUCCAGCUUGUGCCGCUGACAUUAUCUCCACUCUGAUACAAGCCUCAUUCACUCGCUCACACACGUUCAUACAAUCACCUUUUCCUCACAGUCACACACAUGAAUGUAAUGAGGGGAACUCGGGUUCACUGUCAUUCCUCAGGAUCCUUUGAUAUGCAGCCUGGAGGCUCUGUGGAUGAAACCAGCGACUGUCUGAACCACUCGGAAGUCUUCAUGAUGGACUUCAUCCUGAUUAGCACUACAAUACUUGUUACAGGCCUUUUAUAUGGAAGAAUAUUCUUUUCCAUUAAAGCUCUGAACAUUCUCACUCUUUCUGGACCAGGUGUGACAGGUGAAGGACACCGGCGAAUAGGAGGACAGAAACUGAGAGCCAUUAGUCACAUGACUUCAGCUGCUGGCCCCUCGGUGUCUGGUAAAAGGACGAUGCUGCUGUCCAAUGAGGCGAGGAGAGAAGUAGCCAAACAGGCGAGAGCCGUGAAGGAGGAACGGCGGGCAGCUCUGGAUGCCCGACAUAAAUACCUGAUGAGCAGGCUGGCAGACGCCGGCAGCCUGGAGGAGGCGGCGGUGGAAGACGCCAUGGUCUCUGAUGACAGAUUCAGUCUGAUCCAUGAAUUCUUUGCUGCAAACGGAUCCAAGAAGCUGAUUUUCUUCUAUCAGGAUGUCAAACAGAGUCUGUCCUCCCGUCAGUCUUCCUCUGUGGACGCAUCAAACUCAGCUGUGGCUCAGAGGAAACUCUUCCUCACUACGGGGAACUCUGAGGUUGGCUUUGACUUUUCUUUAAGUUAAUGUGAGUCUAAUGUGAGAAUAAGAAAUAAAUGUUGAUAUGAGUGGAAGGUUCUGCUGAUAAAAUAGCAACGAGCAGAUUAUUGAAGAGCGAGGCAGACAGUUGGUUUCAGUAAUGCCAGUUUAUUAGAAACGAGGACUGUGGGGCUGCUGGAAGUCAGGAGGGCCGUUCUCUGGAGAAACCUGACAGCUGAGGUGGAGAGCAGGAUUUAUCCACAGACGCUUCUUCCAAGCAAAUGUCCUGAACACACCUGAGCUGAGUGUUACACAGAAACUGUCUUAAAGCACGAGCCUGGAUCAGACUGGAGGACUCAGAGCUCAGGUGUGUGACGUCACAUUGAUCCACCUCUCGGGGUUUUUGUGUUCUGAUGUAUCUGAUUUUUCUUUAAGCUCCAAACAAUCCCGAGCCUACGAUUCAUCAUUGUCCUGUUCAGAGAUGAUGAGCCUGAGCGUGUUUGUGUUUCCAUGGAUCAAACUGUGCUGCUUUGUUUGGUUAACCAGGUGAUUAAAGUCUCUGAGCAAACACUGGAUGACUGACAGCUGCAGGCUGAACAUCAGGAGGUCGAGAGGCCGAAGUCUGAAGAGCUCAAAGCUCCACAAACACUUAUUCACAGAGAAAAGGACUACAAACAUGGAGGAGCAGCACUCCCAACACGAGCUAAAGGCUACAUGCUAAUAACAUUUCCCCUGGAUGUGGUUUUAACAGGAACAUGAAUGAUGAAGUAUUUAAAGUCAGUUCCAGCGGAGUCGGUGCCGUGUUGGCAGCUCUGAUAUGCAGAAACUUUAAAGCAUGGGACAGGAAUAAAAACACUCCUGUGACGUCAGAGUUUAUGAAUGAUGACAAACUGUUUGUUUUUAGAAACUUUGUUGAUGCUUAAAAUGAUCAGGAAAUAAAAGCUGAAUAGAUCCACGUCAAACAGGAGAAGCUUUGCAGUUUGCAUCAGCUGGGAAACUCGUUCAUAUCCAGUGUUGGGCAAGUUACUUUCAAAUAGUCAUUAAUUAUAG
rnacentral:lncRNA from 1 species